GUCGACGAACUCUGGUAUUGAUUGGUGCUUGCAUCAUGAUUUACAUUUGAGUGAGUGGCGAACUGGUGAGUAACACGUGGGAAACCUGCCCAGAAGCGGGGGAUAACACCUGGAAACAGAUGCUAAUACCGCAUAACAACUUGGACCGCAUGGUCCGAGUUUGAAAGAUGGCUUCGGCUAUCACUUUUGGAUGGUCCCGCGGCGUAUUAGCUAGAUGGUGGGGUAACGGCUCACCAUGGCAAUGAUACGUAGCCGACCUGAGAGGGUAAUCGGCCACAUUGGGACUGAGACACGGCCCAAACUCCUACGGGAGGCAGCAGUAGGGAAUCUUCCACAAUGGACGAAAGUCUGAUGGAGCAACGCCGCGUGAGUGAAGAAGGGUUUCGGCUCGUAAAACUCUGUUGUUAAAGAAGAACAUAUCUGAGAGUAACUGUUCAGGUAUUGACGGUAUUUAACCAGAAAGCCACGGCUAACUACGUGCCAGCAGCCGCGGUAAUACGUAGGUGGCAAGCGUUGUCCGGAUUUAUUGGGCGUAAAGCGAGCGCAGGCGGUUUUUUAAGUCUGAUGUGAAAGCCUUCGGCUCAACCGAAGAAGUGCAUCGGAAACUGGGAAACUUGAGUGCAGAAGAGGACAGUGGAACUCCAUGUGUAGCGGUGAAAUGCGUAGAUAUAUGGAAGAACACCAGUGGCGAAGGCGGCUGUCUGGUCUGUAACUGACGCUGAGGCUCGAAAGUAUGGGUAGCAAACAGGAUUAGAUACCCUGGUAGUCCAUACCGUAAACGAUGAAUGCUAAGUGUUGGAGGGUUUCCGCCCUUCAGUGCUGCAGCUAACGCAUUAAGCAUUCCGCCUGGGGAGUACGGCCGCAAGGCUGAAACUCAAAGGAAUUGACGGGGGCCCGCACAAGCGGUGGAGCAUGUGGUUUAAUUCGAAGCUACGCGAAGAACCUUACCAGGUCUUGACAUACUAUGCAAAUCUAAGAGAUUAGACGUUCCCUUCGGGGACAUGGAUACAGGUGGUGCAUGGUUGUCGUCAGCUCGUGUCGUGAGAUGUUGGGUUAAGUCCCGCAACGAGCGCAACCCUUAUUAUCAGUUGCCAGCAUUAAGUUGGGCACUCUGGUGAGACUGCCGGUGACAAACCGGAGGAAGGUGGGGAUGACGUCAAAUCAUCAUGCCCCUUAUGACCUGGGCUACACACGUGCUACAAUGGAUGGUACAACGAGUUGCGAACUCGCGAGAGUAAGCUAAUCUCUUAAAGCCAUUCUCAGUUCGGAUUGUAGGCUGCAACUCGCCUACAUGAAGUCGGAAUCGCUAGUAAUCGCGGAUCAGCAUGCCGCGGUGAAUACGUUCCCGGGCCUUGUACACACCGCCCGUCACACCAUGAGAGUUUGUAACACCCAAAGUCGGUGGGGUAA
rnacentral:rRNA from 2 species